AGGUGCGAUCAUACCAGCACUAAUGCACUGGAUCCCAUCAAAAUUCCGCAGUUAAGCGUGCUUGGGCGAGAGUAGUACUAGGAUGGGUGACCUCCUGGGUUUAGGGUUUGGGAUGGGUGACUU
rnacentral:rRNA from 1 species